CAUGCUGCAUGUCUCGCAGACAGGAACAAAUUCGGGGAGCUGUUGUGACACUCAUCCGCGUCGGACAUGAAAAUACCAAAAUAAGUUAACUUUGCAACAUUCCAAAACAAACAGUUUCUAAGGUGAAAGUGAGUUUCUGCGCUUUUGUUUAUAAUGGUGGAGACCCAGACGAGUAUGAUAUACGCCGCGGCGAGUAAAAGCGGCGCUCUGAUACUGCUCCAACAUCCAAAAUAGCGAAAGUUAAGCGCUAAAUUGUAUCAGAUGAGCUCGGUUUGAAGUCUUAUGCCCGUCGAAAAGCGCAAUAUUGUCAAAUGCAAAUAAGGAGUCCCGUGCGCUUCGAUUUUGUAAAUUGUUUAACUUUCUGAAAAGUCGAAACGAGAACGGAGAGGGUACCAAGAAGUUGAUUUUUUUCAGUGAUGACAAAUUUUUUUGGCAAGACCAGAAGCUUAAUAGUCGCAAUAAUAGGUGGCUAUGCUCGAAAUUAUCGUAGUCUCUCAAACAAAGUUUCCAGCGCACGUUAUGGUCCUUGGAGUGAUAUGAAAUCAAGGCUACGUUAUGUCUCUAUUUCUUUGAAAAGGGUCAGAAAGUCAAUUUUGAUGUUUAUAUCAACGUUUUGUGCACUGUAGUGAAGCCGUGGAUGGAUAACGUGGCAGGGGAGUGGCAUACACGUUCCAGCAGGACGAAGCACAGGCUCACAAGGCCAAGAAGACCCAAGUGCGGCGUGAAUUUGCCAAAUUUCUGGCCACGUGGCCCCCUCGUCACCUGACCUAAAUCCCCUGGAUUAUUAUUUCUGGUCCGCGAUUGAACCAAAUGCAAAUGCCAAACCGCACAGCACACUAGACUCGCUGAAACGUGCCUUCGCCCAAAGUUAAUUGGAGACCCUGAAACGUGUUUGUUUCUGUUUCCGGACAAGAUUGGAGCAGGCCUGAGCAUAGAGAUAAAAAAAUAUAAAGUGCUUACUUGAGGAAAAAAUUGAAGGGAGAGACAGCUGAUGAUUACAAACAACAAAAGGAUCAAAACAUUCAAAUAUUAUAGUAAAUAACCGUUUCGUCUUACUUAAUAAUGUGGUUUUAGGGACCUAAUAGGUAAUGACUAAUGAGAGUAUUCACCUUAGUUCAAAUUUUCCUCAUUUCUCUUAUCAAAAUGACAAGUAUAAAUAUGAAAUCUGUAAAAUGCGAAAUAGUUCAUUAUUAUUGUUAUAACAAUUCAUCAAUUUCAAUCUCUUAAAGGAUUCUCCACGAUUGGUAUUUAAAUCUUGAAUCCCAUGAAACCUAUAACAACAUUAUGAAGAACACUUUCAUAAUUGAUUUUUAAACUCUUAAUAUUCCCGUUUGUUCUUGUAAAUACUUAUUUUAAUAAAUAAAAUGUUUUAGAAUAUCUAAGACAAAUAAACAUGCAA
rnacentral:lncRNA from 1 species